rnacentral:rRNA from 1 species
UACGGGGGGAGCAAGCGUUGUUCGGAUUUACUGGGCGUAAAGGGCGCGUAGGCGGCCACCGCAAGUCGACUGUGAAAUCUCCGGGCUUAACCCGGAAAGGUCAGCCGAUACUGCGGGGCUAGAGUGCAGAAGGGGCAACUGGAAUUCUCGGUGUAGCGGUGAAAUGCGUAGAUAUCGAGAGGAACACCUGCGGCGAAGGCGGGUUGCUGGGCUGACACUGACGUUGAUGCGCGAAAGCUAGGGGAGCGAACGGG